rnacentral:rRNA from 1 species
CUACGGGCUGCUGCAGUGAGGAAUAUUGCACAAUGGGGGAAACCCUGAUGCAGCAACGCCGCGUGGAGGAUGACGCAUUUCGGUGUGUAAACUCCUUUUAUAUGUCAAGAAAAUGACGGUAGCAUAUGAAUAAGCACCGGCUAACUCCGUGCCAGCAGCCGCGGUAAUACGGAGGGUGCAAGCGUUACUCGGAAUCACUGGGCGUAAAGGACGCGUAGGCUGUUUGGCAAGUCAGAUGUGAAAUCCUAUGGCUCAACCAUAGAACUGCAUUUGAAACUGCCAGACUAGAGUAUGGGAGGGGGAGAUGGAAUUAGUGGUGUAGGGGUAAAAUCCGUAGAUAUCACUAGGAAUACCUAAAGCGAAGGCGAUCUCCUGGAACAUUACUGACGCUAAGGCGUGAAAGCGUGGGGAGCAAACAGGAUUAGAUACCCGAGUAGUC